rnacentral:rRNA from 1 species
UACGGAGGAUUCAAGCGUUAUCCGGAUUUAUUGGGUUUAAAGGGUGCGUAGGCGGUUCGAUAAGUUAGAGGUGAAAUCCCGGGGCUCAACUCCGGCAUUGCCUCUGAUACUGUCGGGCUAGAGUUUAGUUGCGGUAGGCGGAAUGUAUGGUGUAGCGGUGAAAUGCAUAGAGAUCAUACAGAACACCGAUUGCGAAGGCAGCUUACCAAACUACGACUGACGUUGAGGCACGAAAGCGUG